rnacentral:rRNA from 1 species
UCAAGAUACAAUAUAUAAUCAGGCAAUACAAGCAACAGCUUAAAACCUAAAAAAAAUGGCGGUACCCUAUAUACUCAGGGGAACCUGUUACUUAAUUCGAUAAUCCACGACAUUUCAUCCAUAAAAUGAAUAAAACAACUUGUAUACUACUGUCGUCAGCAGACCCCUAAAAGAAAGUUUGCAACUAAAUAAUACUUUUAACGUCAAGUCAAAGUGCAGUUUAUAUUAUGGAGUAAAUGGGUUACACUUUCAAUUAAACAAAACCGAUUAAAAAAAUAAAAAUUUUAUGAAGGUGGACUUGAUAGUAAUUAUUAAAAAUUAUCAUAAUAAACUCUAAAUAUGGUAUGCACACAUCGCCCGUCGCUCUUGUUUUAAAACU